CUUACACACAGAUCACAGAUGUUCAUGUUCAAUAUAACCUCAAAUAUUUUUUUAUCGUUCUAGAUGUGUUGCGCUUGAAAAUAUCUCCUUUCUUUUUAUCUUCUCAUUCAGCUAUCCAUUUAUUUUGAGCGAAACUUUGCACUUUUUGACUAAAUAUAUCCGUAAAUGAAGAUAAACGAGAAAAAUUUGGCAGCAUACGCAGUUUCUGCGACUCCAGUGGAUCGAGAAGGAUGGCUUGUCAAACGGGGAGAUGUCAAUAAAACGUUUCAAAAAAGAUGGUUUAUCCUAAAAGGAAAUUUGUUAUUCUAUUUCGAAAAACGGUAUGAUAAAGAACCUGUUGGUGUUGUCAUAUUGGAAGGCUGUACUAUAGAAUUGGCGGAAGAUGAAGAACAGUUCUGUUUCAAGAUUGUAUUCCAUGGGCCUGGAAACAGGAGUUACGUUUUGGGAGCGGACUCCCAGGAGUCUAUGGAACAGUGGAUGAAAGCCCUAGCUUGUGCAAGCUAUGAUUAUAUGAAGUUGAUAGUCGCUGAGCUUCAGAGGCAGCUUGAUGAGAUGGAAGAGAACGUUCCGGCACCAGCGCGCACCGGUGCUAGUGACCCGAAGAUCGAUGGCACCACCUCGCCUCAACCGCCUCCCAGAACGCGACACAACCCGUUCAACCGGCCGGCACAUCCCAACUUGACACAUUCCUCCAGUCACAACCCGUUCAACCGGCCGGCGCAUCCCACCUUGACGCAGUCUUCCAACCAUAAUCGGUCACACAGUGUCAGGUCGGCCCCUCCCCGUCCUGAUGUCGCAUCUAGGGCUAUUGAGAACUCGACGUCAAGACACAAAGUCACAUUCAAAGAACUGCACACAGCUUACGGCCGACCCAUACUGACUGACCGAAACGAAUGGCGGCAUAGAAACAAACUGGAACUGGAACGAAAACAACAGCCUCUCAUUUCGCUGUGAUUGCGACAAGCUGUCACCCCGACAACCUGUCAUCUCUCAGUAAUACAUCAAUCGCGACAAGGUGUCAUCCCGACAACCUGUCACCUUGUAAAAAUCCAACAAGAUAUCACUCUGAUAUCCAUUCUCUUCUGUGUUUCAACCAUUGGCGACAAUUAUUUGUCACCUCUUAAGGUGCCGCGAACAUGAGCAAUUCACUUUUAAUCAGCUGAUGCCAAGCUUUUUAUAUCUGUAUCUUACCGUUUCUGUAAAAAUACAGAUAUAGUCAGCUGAUUAAAAGUGAAUUGCUCAUGUUCGCGGCGCGUAUAUCUGUACGCACCUUUAGAAAUUUAUCAAUGCAUUACACAAGAUGUUGCUUCAGCAGCUUGACACCUCCUUAGCUACAGGUGAUAGGUUGUCGUCAUUCUUCGCGACAAAGUAUCACCUUCAUCUCUUGCGUCAAGACAAGUUUUCGAUACCAUCACGAUAAAGUAUCACCUCUUUUGUUCGCGGAAAGGUUUCACAUCCUUAUAACGGUGACAGGCUGUGGUUGUUUUUCUAACCCAUUAACCUUGUAAAUCAGUUUUAGAAGGUGAUAGUUUGUUUGAGUGACAGGUUGUCGAGGUGACACCUGGACGGCGACCCAUCUUCCUUCUGUGAUUGGAUACAGCAGCAAAGUCAACCGCAAGUACAACUUACAACAACUUUAUUCAAGUUACAUCAAAUACUUUCUGGACUUUUUCCUCUCUCAGGCAACUUGAGAUUGAGAUCUAUGUUCUGUCUUCACUGAUGAGCCUUAUCCGUUGAGAAUACUGUGUACAACUUUUGAAAUCUAAUCAUGUGUGGCCAAGUAAUUGGAGAAAUUAUAGUAGCAAUCAUCAAUACUGACAAAUACUGUGUUUCAAUCCUGAAUAAGUAAACAAUAAUCAAGUUUGGGGUUGAGUAGAGAAGUAAGCCUAUAUUCAUAUAUUCUCAUAUUCAAUUUUUCUCAUAUUCAAUUUUAUUUAUUUCAAUUUAUUAAAAACACACAAAACAAGACAAAACAAAAUUACAAAGAAAUAGUCUAUAGUGAGAUUCUAUCUAAACUGUAAGUAGUAAACAUUGUGUGAAUGGGUCGUGUAAUGCCAAGUAAUUGAAGAAAAUUAUAUAGUCAGUCCUCAAUACAAAUACUGCGUUUCAAUCCUGAAUAAGUAAACGGUAGUCAAAUUUGGGGUUGAGUAGAGUCGUAAGGCUGUAGUGUGAUUCUCUCUAAACUUUAUGUAUUGUUCGAAUGGGAAGCCUUGAUAAUGUUUAACAUAGGCUUUAUGACGUAUUCUCAUGGCUUUUAUUGGUAGAGAGAUCCUUUCGGAUGUUGUGCCGUAAUACCAUAGAGAAACAAUAGCGUAAGUAGAUAUCCCAUGGUAUAGGGCGUUUAUGUCGCAACUUUUACUGUUAUCUCAAGCCGAUAGUCCACGUAGUUCUUUCCCGUGAAGCUUUAUGUUGCUGCUAGUCUCUUAUAGUGUGCCUUUCAUACACUCUUACCCGGUCAAAACAGUAAAAAUCGACAACAGUCGACAGUAAUCGGCUUGAGAUAACAGUAAAAGUUGCGACAUAAACGCCCUAU
rnacentral:misc_RNA from 1 species